UAUAAAUGAUUUAUCGUUAGGGCUGCAUGUCUGAAUUUUCACUGUCUGCAGUGAAGCUUCUCAAGUUACGGAUCCCAUCCCACUGGGAAAGUCUGCCCUUUCUGUUGCAGUGUGGGCAGUGAAAUUGUGGAGAAAAGCAUCGUCUGCCAAGCUGUAGAGACGGCGUUAAUAGCACAUAACGUGUGACAAGGCCAAGGGUUGUAGAGAGCUCUCACAGCACUGGGGUUCUUUUCAGUAAGGCUGCAGGCUGUGGGCCGAAGGAUGAGAGAAAUAAGCACCUGCCUUGGAUUUUCAUACAGGUUAUUUCCCUGGGGGGCUGAU